UGGAGGAACAACCCCAGUGGUGGGGCCAGCUCUGGAGCCCUGGAUUCAGCCCCCGCAGGAACUCCGGAGCUCUCCGUCUGCAGGGCCUGGAGGCUCCGGGGCGGG
rnacentral:pre_miRNA from 1 species